GCUUUCUCUGAAGUAAAUGGUAGUAUGAGAUAAAGAAAAAGUAGGCUGGUCCUGAGCCAGAAAGUUCUACCCUGGUGACUAGAUUUCAAAGUGGCAGAAGGUAAAAUUCUGGCUCCUGCAGAAGGAAAGACAUCAAUGUUUUACCUAGCUGUGACUCCUAUGAUAGAACCAAUCUUCCAGGAAAUGGCAACUGGUCAACCAGAGUUUUCAUUUUAUCAAACCAAAGCCUGAAGAGUUUUCCAUUGCAUCACAACCAGGAAGGUCAGAAGAAGUUCCUAGAGAACUGGAAGCCUAAUUUCGUCCACAGCGUCAAAUCUGAAUAGUUCACUGAGGAUUGCAAAUGAAAUAUGGUUUAUAGCAUAUGAGAAGAGUCAAGGAAAGACAAAACUAGAAUGCUAGAGACCAGAGAAAGAAAAAAGGAGGUUUCAGCUAAACUCUUCUGUGCUUCUGACAGCUGAAAGACUACCUGCCGUCUCAUGGGGAAAACGAAGCAUUGACUCCAGGAUGCUAAAUAUCAACCACCCCAAAGGAAGUGACAAAAUUAAGUAAAUUUUAAAUUUCUUUGUUUAACUUACAAAACUAGCUAGCUGUGGCUGCUAUACCAGAGAAC